rnacentral:rRNA from 1 species
AGUGAAAGCUGGCGGCGUGCUUAACACAUGCAAGUCGAACGAGAACGGAAUAUAGCUUGCUAUAUUUGUCAGCUAAGUGGCGCACGGGUGAGUAAUGUAUAGAUAACCUGCCCUUAAGAAAGGAAUAACAGUUGGAAACGACUGCUAAUGCCCUAUAUGCCUUUAAUACAUAAGUAUGCAAGGGAAACGCUUUAGUGCUUAAGGAUGGGUCUGUAUGGUAUCAGCUUGUUGGUGAGGUAAUGGCUCACCAAGGCUAUGACGCCUAACUGGUUUGAGAGGAUGAUCAGUCACACUGGAACUGAGACACGGUCCAGACUCCUACGGGAGGCAGCAGUGGGGAAUAUUGCACAAUGGACGAAAGGCUGAUGCAGCAACGCCGCGUGGAGGAUGACACAUUUCGGUGCGUAAACUCCUUUUAUAUAGGAAGAUAAUGACGGUACUAUAUGAAUAAGCACCGGCUAACUCCGUGCCAGCAGCCGCCGUAA